UGACCCUGGGAAUUUAGAAGCCAUUUUCACAUCCUGCUUCGUUGGGUGCCAAGUACAAGACCUGGACGUAGGCACAGCAUUUGUCUGCGGGGAACCUGAGGCCACAGACAGGAAGUUGUCUGCCCAGCACAUGUGGUUAGUGGAGGAAAAUUUUGUGCUUUUUCAUCGGCGCACACUCCCCUCCCCUUUCGGAAAUGGCUGAUCUGUAAAGUGAUUCUGACACAGUCUUCUUACCAUGUCGCCCAACAAAGCAUUUUGAUGACAACUCAAAUCUUCCCGCUUACUAAUUUCGGAUGAUUCCCUGCUCAUUAUAGGAGCUAAUUCAUUUGAACGAAGUAGAGGCAUUUUGGCAAAGAUUGAAUUCUUUGAAUAAGAAGCCACAUUUGGAACUGUCAGCUUUCAAAGAAACCAAAGAAUAUAAUUUAAUUUUAUGAUAACAUAAAUGACAGAUUUGAAUUAGACUCAUGUGGAAAUGCGUAACAGGAAAGAAUGCACCAGAAAAGCAACAUAACAGUGAACAAGCGGGUAUCUGAGUCAGAGGAACAGAGGAAGGCGAUGAUGGCUGAACAUGUCCUGAGACAUGAGCUUCCCAAAGAUUUUCAGCUGGUGCUUCACAGAGACUGUGGCUGUGUUCCUGGGUCUCUGAAAUGAUGGCUGGAGCUCCUGUCACCUUCUUGGAUCAUGAAGUCAAGAAACCACUAGACCCUCCAGGGCAGUGAAGAGUGAACAGG